rnacentral:rRNA from 2 species
UCAUUAGUUUUUUAAUUGAAAGCUUGUAUGAAUGGUUUGAUGAGAAAAUAACUGUCUCAAUUUUAAUAUUUUAGAAUUUUAUUUUUAAGUAAAAAAGCUUAAAUUUAUUUAAAAGACGAGAAGACCCUAUAGAGUUUGAUUUAAAAUGAUUUUAUAAAUUUUAGAAUUAAUUUUUUUUAAUUUUAUUUUAAAUUUGGUUGGGGUGACUAAAAAAUUAAUUAAACUUUUUUUUUAUUUUUACAUUAAUUUAUGAAUUUUUGAUCCAUUUAAAUGAUUAAAAGAUUAAAUUACCUUAGGGAUAACAGCGUAAUUUUUUUUGAGAGUUCUUAUUGAAAGAAGAGAUUGCGACCUCGAUGUUGGAUUAAAAUAAAUUUUUGGUGUAGAAGCUAGAA